CUAUAUGGAUAGGCUAGCGCUCAAGAGAUAAAAGUUACGCUAGGGAUAACAGGGUUAUAGCGCACGAGAGUUCAUAUUGUCGGCGCUGUUUGCCACCUAAUGGUCGACUCAUCUUAUCCUCCCGGUGCAUUAGCUGGGAAGGGUUCUGCUGUUCGCAGAUUAAAAAGGUACGUGAGUUGGGUUCAAUACGACGUGAGUC
rnacentral:rRNA from 1 species